AGAGUUUGAUCCUGGCUCAGGAUGAACGCUGGCGGCGUGCCUAACACAUGCAAGUCGAGCGUGAACCCUGCGAAUGAAACUUCGGUCGAUUUUGCAGGAGGAAAGCGGCGGACGGGUGAGUAACGCGUAGGUAACCCUGCCCCAUACUGAGGGAUAGCCUCGGGAAACCGGGAUUAAUACCUCAUAACACCGUUUGUUCGCAUGGACGAACGGUCAAAGAUUUACCGGUAUGGGAUGGGCCUGCGUCUGAUUAGCUGGUUGGUGGGGUAACGGCCUACCAAGGCGACGAUCAGUAGCCGACCUGAGAGGGUGAUCGGCCACAUUGGGACUGAGACACGGCCCAGACUCCUACGGGAGGCAGCAGUAGGGAAUUUUCGGCAAUGGGGGGAACCCUGACCGAGCAACGCCGCGUGAACGAGGAAGGUCUUUGGAUCGCAGAGUUCUGUUGUAAGGGAAUAAACGAUUAUAGAGGGAAUGCUAUAAUUUUGACGGUACCUUACCAGAAAGCCACAGCUAACUACGUGCCAGCAGCCGCGGUAAUACGUAGGUGGCGAGCGUUAUCCGGAAUUAUUGGGCGUAAAGGGUGCGUAGGCGGCUUAAUAAGUUUGUGGUGAAAUCGUGGGGCUCAACUCCAUCAAGCCACAAAAACUGUAAAGCUAGAGGACAGUAGAGGCAAGUGGAAUUCCAUGUGUAGCGGUAAAAUGCGUAGAUAUAUGGAGGAACACCAGUGGCGAAGGCGGCUUGCUGGACUGUAACUGACGCUGAGGCACGAAAGCGUGGGGAGCAAAUAGGAUUAGAUACCCUAGUAGUCCACGCCGUAAACGAUGAAUACUAAGUGUUGGAGAAAUUCAGUGCUGCAGUUAACGCAAUAAGUAUUCCGCCUGGGGAGUACGCACGCAAGUGUGAAACUCAAAGGAAUUGACGG
rnacentral:rRNA from 1 species